rnacentral:lncRNA from 1 species
UUAACUCUACUAAGAGUGUUUUAUUCAAGCUUAUGGUUAAUCAUUGUUGAUUGCCAUGAAAAUUGUACUCUGUACAUCUUGCAUGUAUAAGUCAGGUAUGAAAGGCUGAUCACCUUCAUUACAGUUGGUUCAGAAAUGUUUGUUCAUGUUUAAAACUUGUUCAGUCAAAAGUUUGUUCAUGCUAGUUCUCAAUUAUAUUGAUGAAUUAUAGCCAGC